rnacentral:rRNA from 1 species
UUCGGGUCGCCGGCGAGUGGCAAACGGGUGAGUAACGCGUGGAUACCUGUCCUGUGGUGGGGAAUAACGUUUAGAAAUGAACGCUAAUACCGCAUAAGCCCUGCGGGGGAAAGAUUUAUCGCCAUAGGAGGGGUCCGCGUCGGAUUAGCUAGUUGGUGGGGUAACGGCCUACCAAGGCGACGAUCCGUAGCUGGUCUGAGAGGAUGAUCAGCCACACUGGGACUGAGACACGGCCCAGACUCCUACGGGAGGCAGCAGUGGGGAAUAUUGCGCAAUGGAGGAAACUCUGACGCAGCGACGCCGCGUGGGUGAAGAAGGCCUUAGGGUUGUAAAGCCCUUUCAGUGGGAAAGAUGAUGACGGUACCCACAGAAGAAGCCCCGGCUAACUCCGUGCCAGCAGCCGCGGUAAUACGGAGGGGGCCAGCGCUGUUCGGAAUUACUGGGCGUAAAGGGCGCGUAGGCGGUUGAUCAAG